rnacentral:lncRNA from 1 species
CUGGCAUAUAGCAUAAUCAGCUACAAAGUUUUAGAAACUCUUAUGAAAAACUGUAAGGACUUAUGAGAAAAUUUAAUAAGGUAGCUAGUUAAAAUACACUAACUAGGCCAGGCGUGGUGGCUCAUGCCUGUAAUCCUAGUACUUUGGGAAGCCGAGGUGGGUGGAUCACGAGGUCAGGAGAUCGAGACCAUCCUGGCUAACAUGGUGAAACCUCAUCUCUACUAAAAAUACAAAAAAUUAGCCAGGCAUGGUGGCGGGCGCCUGUAGUCCCAGCUACUUGGGAGGCGGAGGCAGGAGAAUCGCUUGAACCCCGGAGGCGGAGUGAGCAGCGAUUGCGCCACUGCACUCCAGCCUGGGCAACAGAACGAGACUCCAUCUCAAAAAAAAAAAAAAAAGAAAAAAACUACACUAAGUACUUACACACACCAGUUUAAUGAAUUUGAAACUGUAAUGCAAAAAGCUUCCAUAUUAAUUUCUUGAGAAAUAGGCACCAAGUUUGAACCCCUAAUAAAUUAAUGGAGCUAUGCAAUAAUACUGCCUACUGACAUCACAAAAACGACUCCCAGGCAGGCACUGAGAUUCCUAAUGAAAGAACAUAACACCCUCAUCAAGUAUUACUGCUAAAAAAAUUUGCAGGUAUAUCUGAUUGAGCCUCUAGAUCUCAAUAUUAAUUCAGAGAAAACACAACGGCAGACAAAAAUGUUAAAUGACACCACAGUGUUAAGAUCAGCAACAUCCAGACGGUGAAAGGUCUAUUAAGACAAACCAGUUUCCUAACUGAGUAAACUGCAAAGAAACAGACAAUCUUAUAGAGAGACUCAAGACUUAACACACAAAUGCUCAUAGCAGCAUUGUUCACAAUGGCCCAAAUGUGGCAAACAACCUAAAUUUCAUCAACUGAUGGAUCAAAUGUGGCAUAUAAUAAUACCCCAUGUAUAGGGACAUACAUGGAAUAUUAUUUGGCAAUGAAAAGAAAUGAAGUGCUGACAUAAAUAAAUUACACUGUGAAUAAGCUUAGAAAACAUUAUGCUAAGUGGAAGAAGCCAGUCAGAAAAGACGUAUUAUUCCAUUUACAUGAAAUGUUCAGAAACAGCAAAUCUAUAGAGACCAAAAGUAUUAAUUAAAAAAAAAAAAUCCUGUUCUAAGGCUGGGCACAGUGGCUCACGCCUGUAAUCUCAGCACUUUGGGAGGCCGAGGUGGGCAGAUCAUGAGGUCAGGAGAUCGAGACCAUCCUGGCUAACACGGUGAAACCCCGUCUCUACUAAAAAUACAAAAAAUGAGCCAGGUGUGGUGGCAGGCAC